rnacentral:lncRNA from 1 species
GGUAAACUUAUCAGUAUUGAAUAUGAAAUUAAAUAUUCCUAAUCAAAAUUAAACUAUCGUAUAAAAAGAUAAUUGAUACGAAGAUAUAAUAUUAAUUUCCUAAAACAUAAGGUGUUGAAUACGUUACCUUUGUGACACGAAUAUCAAUAGAUAAAUAAUGCUCAAUAACUUGUUUUGACGCGAAUACAAUGUGACUCAGUAUUAGCACAUGUUAUAAUAUUUGGACUGCGGAUGUAUCAAUUUGCCAAGUUAUUGCACUAAAUUGAGCCUUUUACAAGUUUUUUAUCGAUCUGC